GACAAAUGCACCUUAACCAGUCAACUGGCAGAAGCUUAUAAGGAAUAUAGACCCAAGCCCAUUCUACUUACGGUUUCCACGGAGGUGAAUGUCUCUGAGCUGGCAGAGGAUGCAGAUGAACGCCUUGCCAGUGCAUUCUCUGACGUUUCACAGGCUGCCUACCCAGAGGGGCCUUACCACAAAGGAACUCAGAUUGAUUACUCUUCCUCAUUGAGGAUUCCUGUGUAUUACCAGUACUCCCAGAACAGAAGAGAAAGGACUAAUUGGUGAAAAUUGAGAGAAGAUAAAGAGUAAUGUCUUGUAAUUAGUGAGCAUCUGACAGGAGCAGGGCACGCUUCAGUCCUGUUUGUGGCUCCUAACACCACAAAACUACAAGCAAAUUAAUAAAAAACAAGAGUAGGCCAUUCA